rnacentral:rRNA from 1 species
UAGGGAAUCUUCGGCAAUGGGGGGAACCCUGACCGAGCAACGCCGCGUGAGUGAAGAAGGUUUUCGGAUCGUAAAGCUCUGUUGUUAAGGAAGAACGAGUGUGAGAAUGGAAAGUUCAUACUGUGACGGUACUUAACCAGAAAGGGACGGCUAACUACGUGCCAGCAGCCGCGGUAAUACGUAGGUCCCGAGCGUUGUCCGGAUUUAUUGGGCGUAAAGCGAGCGCAGGCGGUUAGAUAAGUCUGAAGUUAAAGGCAGUGGCUCAACCAUUGUAGGCUUUGGAAACUGUUUAACUUGAGUGCAGAAGGGGAGAGUGGAAUUUCAUGUGUAGCGGUGAAAUGCGUAGAUAUAUGGAGGAACACCGGUGGCGAAAGCGGCUCUCUGGUCUGUAACUGACGCUGAGGCUCGAAAGCGUGGGGAGCGAACAGG